AACGCGAGCUCUUCGUGUUGCUCGCUGAACUUCAAGGGAAUGAGGAGGAGGGCUGAAAUGUACCGUUACCGUUAUUUGCGGCAGAAUUGACUGCUGUUAUUAGACUCAUUAAGACGUUGUCGGUGGAAGGCCACGGGGAGUUUCUGAAAAGACGCUUACUAUCCCUCCAUGCCAUCAGUAGACUCCCUUUUUAGUGACAAACCCCUGUAAUAAGCCUCCGAUCCUCCAAGUCUGAAUUCCGUUCUGCUUUAGCUGAGAUUUCAUCAGAGAUUUCGUCUUCAAAACAGAGCGCUGACAGCUUCAUCACUGCUGUACCCAAUCAGUUUCUGAUUUCUACUCCAUUUGCAACGCUCCAGUCUCACAUAAGUGAACUUAAAGCAAGCCCAGUGCUCGCCCAUUGACGUGGCACAGGCCCGGUACAAAUAGCACUCGACGGACUUGAGAAAUCCAUCUCCAACACGGCCAUCACGAUUCACAACUCGCUGCACGAUCCCACUAGAAACUAACCUCAGGUCUGUUUCUAUUCAAAUUAUGCUUCUGCUGCUUGGCCCAACUCUGUUUCUACCAGCCCCUCUCUGAAUCUCCAGAAGCGGCACAGUUAAACAAUGCACUACUGAAAGCUCUUCUGCUGUUUUAGUCUUAAUCCACGCUUGUAGGACCGGGAGCAGGUGCUUCUGAAAGCGUUAAAAGUGCUCUAGAACCAUGUGUGUCCAGUGGGCAUUGUUUACAAUUGGCCUAGUCCGCAGGAUGGGAGGACAGUAGGGGGACAGCCAGACAGUGGACUCAUGUCAUGGAAGGGGUUGUUGCAGUCGCGGUACAUACAGAGGGCUUGAAUGGUUUUCCACAAGAAUGUAAACAGACAGAGGAUCUAACCAAUGGGCACUCCAAAUGCACAACUAUCCUAAAUGGACUGACUCCAGCUAAUGGCAUCAAAGACAAUGGCAACUUGAAUGGCAACCCUUAUCUCAAAACUGUCCCAGUGAGCA
ensembl:lncRNA